UUUCCUGUUAAUACGGUCUGGCUCCAUAUUUACUAAUCUGUGCCAGUGUCUUGCAAUUACUUUCCAUUGAGUAUGGUAAAUUGGAGUCCACCCAAUGUCUCCCAUAAUAGCUGGAUUGGGUGUAUAUUUACCAACACCAAGGAAGAACCUACAAGCUCUCAUCUGAAUCGCAUUACUAGUAAUAUAUGAGAAAUUCUUGCAGCCCAAAAUCGCGGCA
rnacentral:lncRNA from 1 species